GCAGGAAUGUGUGCACAGUGUUAGUCUGUGUUUAGUGGAACAGUCAGCUUGCGUUUUGCAUGUUCACUGUUUUGCUCAUACAAAACCUGAGGCCAGAGAUCAUAGUACUGGUCAAGUGAAGUCUAAUGGACAAUCUCCCUACUGGCCAGCCUCCAAACUCUCAUACAUAU